rnacentral:rRNA from 1 species
GCUACGGGAGGCAGCAGUGGGGAAUAUUGCACAAUGGGGGAAACCCUGAUGCAGCGACGCCGCGUGAGUGAAGAAGUAAUUCGGUACGUAAAGCCCUAUCAGCAGGGAAGAAAAUGACGGUACCUGAGUAAGAAGCCCCGGCAAACUACGUGCCAGCAGCCGCGGUAAUAGGGAGGGGGCCAGCGUUAACCGGAUUUAAUGGGGUUAAAGGGAGCGUAGACGGGGCGCCAAGUCUGGAGUGAGAUGCGGCAGGUUAACUGCGGAACUGCUUUGGAAACUGGCGAUCUUGAGUGCGGGAGGGGUAAGCGGAAUGCCUAGUGUAGCGGUGAAAUGCGUAGAUAUUAGGAGGAACACCGGUGGCGAAGGCGGCUUACUGGAGCGUAACUGACGUUGAGGCUCGAAAGCGUGGGGAGCGAACAGGAUUAGAUACCCUAGUAGUC